AUUGAACGCUGGCGGCAGGCCUAACACAUGCAAGUCGAGGGAAGCGGCGGACGGGUGAGUAAUGCCUAGGAAUCUGCCUGGUAGUGGGGGAUAACUACGCGAAAGCGUAGCUAAUACCGCAUACUAGUGGAGCGGCCGAUAUCGGAUUACUAGUUGGGGGGGUAACGGCUCACCAAGGCGACGAUCCGUAGCUGGUUUGAGAGGACGACCAGCCACACUGGGACUGAGACACGGCCCAGACUCCUACGGGAGGCAGCAGUGGGGAAUUUUGCACAAUGGGCGCAAGCCUGAUGCAGCCAUGCCGCGUGUGUGAAGAAGGCCUUCGGGUUGUAAAGCACUUUCAGCGGGGAGGCGUUACCCGCAGAAGAAGCACCGGCUAACUCCGGCCAGCAGCCGCGGUAAUAC
rnacentral:rRNA from 1 species